GACGUAGGGGGCGAGCGUUGUCCGGAAUUACUGGGCGUAAAGGGCGUCUAGGCGGCCUGGCAAGUCGGGCGUGAAAGGCUACGGCUCAACCGUAGUUAGGCGUCCGAUACUGCUGGGCUUGAGGGCAGUAGAGGCAGGCGGAAUUCCCGGUGUAGCGGUGAAAUGCGUAGAUAUCGGGAAGAACACCAGUGGCGAAGGCGGCCUGCUGGGCUGUUCCUGACGCUGAAGCGCGAAAGCUAGGGGAGCGAACGGG
rnacentral:rRNA from 1 species